UGAGCAAUCUGCCCUUCACAUCGGAAUAACCAUUGGAAACGAUGGCUAAUACCGAAUAUGACUUCGGAUCGCAUGAUCUGAAGUGGAAAGCUCCGGCGGUGAAGGAUGAGCUCGCGGCCUAUCAGCUUGUUGGUGAGGUAAUGGCUCACCAAGGCGACGACGGGUAGCCGGCCUGAGGAGGGUCGACCCGGCCACACGUGGGACUGAGACGACCGGCCCAGACCUCCG
rnacentral:rRNA from 1 species